AUGUCUUUUUUUUUUCGUUUUUUUUUUAACAAAAAAAGGGUUGAAAACGCAGGGGUCGACUUUAUGGUUCAUUUUCAAAAUUUUCCCCAUUUCCCAAAUCUCUCCCUCUCAAUCCUCCCCUCCCGCACCGAUCGACUGCCGCCCAACGGCCGACACCGUCCGGCCCUCUCAGACCACCGCAGGCCACCGAUCUCCACCAGCAGACCGUCGAUCCCAGACGAACGGCGCCCACGACCCAUCUCCAUCUCUUCCGACCGACACCUUCCCGGCAAGACUCUCCCUCGGACCGGCGACCCAUUUCUCUCGGAGAUCUACUGACCACCGUCCCCCUCUCCCACCUUCCUAGCGUCGCUUUGGUUUAUGAAUACUGAUUUCCGGACUCUCUCUUGGACCCAGCAGACCGGGUGCUCUCCGACCAGGAGUAACACCAAAGACAGCUUGAGGUGUGUGGAGGGCAGGUUCAUGUUCCAUGAAGAGGUGUUGGGGUCAAAAUAGAGCCACUCAAAGAAAUUCAGUUUGGCCAAGUUGAACUGGAAGGCCUCAGAUCAAAACUUUUGUGCAACUGCUUGCAUAUGAGAAUUGAAAUAUCUCCUAGUGGAUUAUUUCUUCUUUGUAGAUUUAUACCUCAUUUGUGGUAAUGAUCAUGACCAUGUUUGUGA